rnacentral:rRNA from 1 species
UUAUGUUUCUGCUUUAUGUGCGCAUCCUCUACCUAUUAAGUGUUAAUUAAAUUAAAGGGUUUCUUUUUAAAAUCUUCUAUAACUAAUAAAAAAAUAUGGAAGAUUUUGUUACUUUGAGUAAAUUAGAGUGUUCAAAGCAAACAGAUAUAUAGCAUUUGUGCGUUUGAAUACUACAGCAUGGAAUAACAAAAUUGAACAGGUCAAAACUAUGUUUCUUUUUUUUUAUUUUUGGCUUAGUUACGAUUAAUAGGAGUAGUUUGGGGACAUUUGUAUUCAGAUGUCAGAGGUGAAAUUCUAAGAUUUUCUGGAGACAAACAACUGCGAAGGCAUUUGUCUAAAAUACUUCCAUUAAUCAAGAACGAAAGUUAAGGGAGUGAAGACGAUCAGAUACCGUCGUAAUCUUAACCAUAAACUAUACCGACUAGGUUUUGGAUGAAAGUAAAACAAAUAAGGAUAGUCUCUUCGGGGAUAGUUCUUAGAUUUCUUCCUUCAGUACCUUAUGAGAAAUCAAAGUCUUUGGGUUCUGGGGCGAGUAUUCGCGCAAGCGAGAAAGUUAAAAGAAUUGACGGAAGGGCACCACCAGGCGUGGAGCUUGCGGCUUAAUUUGACUCAACACGGGAAAACUCACUAGUUUAAGACAAGAGUAGGAUUGACAGAUUAAUAGCUCUUUCUUGAUUUCUUGGAUGGUGAUGCAUGGCCGUUUUUAGUUCGUGAAUAUGAUUUGUCUGGUUAAUUCCGAUAACGAACGAGAUCUUAACCUGCUAAUUAGCAGUAAGUACAACAUAUUUCUAUGCUGAAUUUGUAUUUGGAUAAUUUAAAAGGUUUUUUUGCCGUGCAUAUAAUGAGUACGGAAAAAAUGCAUACUGCUACCUUGUACCUAAUAAUACUUGGCGCCUAUGCAUAUUUCCAACCCUCUAUUCCCUGUACCGCAUAAAACUGGAUUAUGAUGCCAUUUCACUUUUAUGUAGAAAUGUAUUUGCUUUUACAUAAAAGCUUCUUAAAAGGAACGAUGUGUUUUCUAACAACAAGGGAAGUUUAGGCAACCAACAGGGAA